AUACACCAAACAUGCACUUAGGUUCAGUAGUACUCCUAGGUUUUGUAAAUGCUCCUAAAUCCAAUUGGGUUCAGUAGUACUCCGAGGAGUAAAUGGGCAUCAAGAGAAUGAUUUGGCAUGUGUUUCAGUUAGGUUCAGUAAUACUCCUAGAUUUUGCAUGGUGUUCAGUUAGGUUCAUUUAUCCAAUAGCACAAGCAAAGCAUUUUCAGUCUAAUCUGCUUCCAAAGGACAUAAUCUUUAUCCUGUAGGCUAGAUUGGGCUUAGAGCCACGUGGUAGCCAACUGCAUGUUGGAAACAGGAGCAAGAAUGGUCAACUUUAUGCUUUGAUCAACUAUGGUGUUUGGUGUUUUGGUUUAGUCCUAUGAACUUAUAGUAUUUCUUCAUAUAUGGGACAUUAAGAAAUGUAUUAGCUGCACCUAUAUGCGCUCCCGCAAAACAAAACUGAACAAUUCCUCUAAUUUGGAAUUUGUAUUUGUUGUAUUCUAUAUCUGCUAUGCAAGCUACACGAUGCAACAAUUUUAGUUUUUUAUUCUUUUGUACUGUCAUGGACUCUGAUGGUUGUAUAGGGCAACUUUUUUCUUCACUCCAUAAUUCAGGAUGAACCAGGUGUCUUGGUCAUAUGGUUUAUUUCAGUCCACCUCAGGGAACAAAGUUCAUCUCCAAUGGCAAAUCCAUAGCUUUGUGCUAAAGGUUCAGGCAGAUGGAAGCAUUAGCAAUUCCCUCGACAUAGCUCUCGAUUGGGCCUGAACCACAACCAGCUAAGGGGACAUUUCUACAGAUCGUUUCUAUCUGAUUUCCGACAUUUUCAGUUUUUGGAACACCCAGAAUGGAUAUAUUGAGUGUCCCUCUUGCUGCUAAACACAAUACACUUGAGAUUAUGUCCCUACUGAGAUUCUUAAAGAACAUGGUACACCGGAAUAGCUUCAGAUCAAAGUAACUCAGCCGAUGGACCUUCUUAUCAUGAAACACCAUGGCAAUCGAGCUGUCGUCCGUCCGUCCCUCCCUCCUCGCGCCCGGAACCCUAGCUCGCGGCCAUGGCGACCGUGCACGUCGCAGGCAGCGCAGGAUCUUCAGCACUACAAGUUGUGAUUUCUAUCACAUGUUUGUUUGAUACACAAGGUCGAUCGUCUAUCACCUGUUCCUAUUAGGCUUGAAAUACAACAAAGGAUAUGCGAUUAGUGCUUACUACUCUUGCAUGUAAAAAGUUGUGAUUUCUUUUUUUCAAGCCCCUUUCUUUUCUCUGGAUGCAUGUCCAUCCAUCAUGUACCCACCCACACAUGCAAAUGAAUUCGUUUGGUGGUUAUAUCUUGAGUGGCAUCUGAAUACACAAGCGUGACCAAUAGUAAGCGUGAGUGCUAGAGAAGUCCCCAUUUAGCAUGAUGGAGAGCAGGAUUGUCCCCAUUUAUAUUUGGUUCACACAGUUGUAGCUUCCUUUUUGUACGGGUUGCAAUGAUAUGGCUUGGUCGCGGCUUAGGUCAGACAGAGAUGAUCCAGUACUAAUUAAGCAUCAUUGAUAAAUAACAAGAGGGGCAUGUGAGGAGCUCUGUCUUGCUUGUAAUAGCUAAACUAUUGUUACCUACUUAAUGAGAUCCAUCGUCGAUCUGCUCUAUUGACUAAAUGUACCCUGCUUGCUUUGCUUUGACAAAAUGGCCUGUACUGAACUUGGUCAUCCUUGGCUACCCAGAUGGGAUGUCUAUAAGGAGAACUAUCCAGUCCAUAUCUGAAUCUAGGAACUAUGAACUAUUAUAUCGAUGAUGUCGAGUUAUGUCUACAUAGCCUGCUUUGCUAUGCUUCUAUAAGCUCAAUGUAUCCUUUGUACUGUUCUUCUUCUUCGACUUAUCUGCUCAUUUUUAGAUAAAUUUUCAUGUGAGUACCAAUGUUAUAAAUCAGAAUUCUCUUUCUAAGGAUGCUUAUGUCGCAACGGUUCAUCAUAUUUGUCAACAUAUUCUAUACAAUAUGUUAUGCAGUCUAAAACCCAUCUUAAAUUUCAUAUCUUAUGAACAGAUAAUAAUUUGCAGUAUGACACUGUACUGAACUAAUAUCAUUGCUUUUUUUUUUAUAUUUACAAUGCUCCUAUGACUGUUCUGUAAAAAAAAUGCUCCUAUGACUGUAUUACCCAAUUGGAUAUAAUUGUACCCGGCAGCGGCGCAGCCGGGUGCGGCAAGCCGCAUUUCCUACUGUUUAAUUGAUUGACUGGUGUGCAUAUGAUUUCAAGGUAUCACUUUCAAGGUAGGAGACUGAUAUGAACUGCCAAUGUAAUUUCUUUUUAUUUGUGAUUCUUGCUGUUUAAUUGAUUGACUGGUGUGCAUAUGAUUUCUAAUAUAUGAAUUCCUUCGUCUUGUGUAUUGAAUAUAGGAUUUAGCUACAGAUAAUCAUUAAUCAACUAAUGUAAUUUCUUUGCCAAGUUGUAGUUAGAGUUAAAUGUGCCACUGGUUAUUUUAUAUCCUUUAUUUAUUCUUAUUCUUCUAAAUGAAAUAGGAGAUUUGUUGGUGCUCCAUUAACUAAAUAUCACUGACAAAAUGUUGUUCUCAUUUCAGUUGAGAGAAAAGUUGCAUACUUUGUGAACCAAUUGGAGAUUCAUGUUGUUUCCCUGGAUAUUGUGUAGUUAGAGUUGAUGUCACUGGUUAUUUUAUAUCAUUUGUUACUAUUCUUUAAUCGCCAAAUCAUAUAGGAGAUUUUGUUGGUGCCGAAUUAACCGAAUGUUACUGACAAAACUGACAAAAUGUUGUUCUUAUUUCAGUUUGAGCGCAAAUUGCAUGCUCUAUAAACUAACGGGAGAUUUCUGUUGUUACGAGAAUAUUGUAGGAAGGGUGGACUAUGAAGGGAAACACUGGUGUUCUAAGAUAGAUGUUCUGUGUUUGAGAUCUUGCCUUGGUAGCUGGAUGCCUUGGUGCAAGACAUUCAAGGUUGUUUGAUGCGUUCAUGCUCGUCGGCGGGACGGUGCAAGGCGCAACUCCGACGCGGUUCCUCGCCGGUUGGACGGCUUUCAGGCGCAACCCUGGUGUGCACUGAGUACUGCCUCGGCUACAGCCUCCCUCGCCAAGAUGAGUGCUCUAUGCUUACGGCUCAUGCUAACUGAACUGGUGAUGUUUCUUUCUUUACCUCGAUUGACGCCACAUGUUCCCCUUGGUUGCCGCGUCGUCCUCGUCUUCGGCUUGCAAGGGACUGGAUCUGGUGUGAUUGAUUCUUCCUCUCACAAGGUUAUGAUGGCCGACAAACAGCUCCAAGUUCACGGGUCGCCAGGCUCGCCGAGUGACGCUGGCUCCAACGGUGGUCUGUGAGCACUUGCCCAGGUCAAUUGAUAUUUGUGGUGGCCCUUCUCUGUUUUUACUUGGAAAAUUUUAGUUCAUAUGUGCCUCGGCGAUUUUUAAAAUCAAAGGAAAUGCUCUGUGCAGAAAAAUACAUAUCUAAUCUAGGGGGUAUAUGUAAUAGCAGUAGAUAAAUAAUAAUGUUUAGAUUCAGGCAGUAUACUAUAAUCUGCCUUCUGGAGAGGGGCCUAUGCUUGCUAAGUUCUUUGUACGGUGCCUUCAGGGAGGCUGUGUGGUGCCGACGGCGAGGUCUUCAUAAUGGCAUCAAGUCACCCUUGCCAUAUGGAUCAUAUGUAAACUCUUCCUGCUAACCUACAGGAGUACAUUUUGAUGCUUCAAGUCUGAACCUAUGUAACUUGUGAACUAAUGCCUCCCUGAGUGUGUGUGUGUGUGCACGCGCGCUAUGUUAAAUCAAACUUCUUCAGACUA